rnacentral:misc_RNA from 1 species
UUUCCGUAGGUGAACCUGCGGAAGGAUCAUUACCGAGUAUCGCUACUCUGGGUCACAUCAGAGUUAGUAACUCUCACCCCUUGUUUUUAAACAUACUAUCAUUAUUUCGGUAAGCCAAUGGAGUUUGCUCCAUUCUUUGGCAUUAGCGAUUGAGUGCUUACCGAAAGUAUAAAACUCUUAUAAUUGUUUGUCUGAGGUGGUCUUAAAAAAUAAAAACUUUCAACAACGGAUCUCUUGGUUCUGGCAUCGAUGAAGAACGCAGC